rnacentral:lncRNA from 1 species
GCAUUUUUGUGCGUCGUUCGGAAAUGAGUUUACGGGUUGAUUAUACAAAUUUGUCUGAAUAUACAAAAAAUAAUCGAAAUAUAGUACAAAAAUGAGCUGACCGCAGGCUUUAUCAGUAAAACACAUACCCAGGGCCUGCUGCUAGGCAUUGAAGUAGGCUUCCUUUGUCUAACGACAACUAAGAGGAAGUUGUUACGGAAGGCAAGCGAAAUGACAGCUUGAACGCCGCACCAUUUACCGAGAGUAUGUAUAAAAGCUAUUGCACCUCAAUUUGUGUGUGCAAACCCGCGCCAGGUGAUAAUUGCAAACAAUUUGAACUUCUUUUGCACAAAUUUAAUGAAGGCCAUGGCAAUUCUAAUUAUUAAACGGAUAGCGGCUGUGUGACCGACCGCAGCCUGAACAUCUGCGGGCUAGGGUUCGAUAAAACGCCAUUUCAGGUUACACUUUGUUGCGGCAUUUGUAAUUUACAUGUUAUGAAUCAUUUGUGCAGUGCCUAGUGAUUGCAGUUUACAUAAAUUAAACAUCGUUAUGAAUUUUUAUGGUAAUUCCUAUGCACUACGCUGUAUACAUAUUUAUGCUGUGCUAUGAAUAGCAAGUCGCUGCGGCAGUAAUAAAUUUGUACGGCUGGCCAAAUUUAUGCAAUAUUAAUUGCGGAUGGUUAUAAUUGCCGAUUGCAUGUGUAAAUUAAAAGCGUAAAAAUAAACAAGAAUAAAGAAAUGAAAUCAAAAUAUUAUAACCGAGGCUUACAGUUAUACUUCAUAAAAAGUUACAUCAUAUUCAUAAUUACAUUACAUC